GAAAUGCGAUAAGUAAUGUGAAUUGCAGAAUUCAGUGAAUCAUCGAAUCUUUGAACGCACAUUGCGCCCCCUGGUAUUCCGGGGGGCAUGCCUGUUCGAGCGUCAUUUCACCACUCAAGCCUCGCUUGGUAUUGGGCGACGCGGUCCGCCGCGCGCCUCAAAUCGACCGGCUGGGUCUUCCGUCCCUUCAGCGUUGUGGAAACUAUUCGCUAAAGGGUGCCGCGGGAGGUCACGCCGCAAAACAACCCCAUUUCUAAGGUUGACCUCGGAUCAGGUAGGGAUACCCGCUGAACUUAAGC
rnacentral:misc_RNA from 1 species